AUCAUUGGUCGUAAGGGCGCGCUAGACUGCCUCUAAGUUCUGACUUGAAGCCCCCGGCUCAGCGGGAGGUCAUCGAAACUGGCAGGCCUUGAGUAUGGAGAGACAGUGAACUCCACCGUCUAGCGGUGAAAUGCGUAGAGAUCUGGAGGUAUCACCAGUGGUGAUGCGACUCUUUGGCCUAUACUGUCGCUGAGGCGCGAAAGCGUGGCGCAGCUAACCAGGAUGAGAUACCCUGGUAGUCCCGCUGUAACCGAUGAGUGCUAGGUGUCGGUAGGGUUUCCGCCCUUCAGUGCUGAAGCUAUCGCAUUAAGCCUCCCGCCUGGGAGUACGGUCGCAAGGCUGAACUCAAAGGAAUUGACGCGGCCCCGCACAAGCGGUGGAGCAUGUGGUUUAAUUCGAAGCACCGCGAAGACCCUUACCAACUCUUGACAUCCCCCUGACCGGUUCAGAGAUGUACCUUACCCUUCGGGGGCAGGGUGACAGGUGGUGCAUGGUUGUCGUCAGCUCGUGUCGUGAGAUGUUGGGUUAAGUCCCGCAACGAGCGCAACCCUUGUCCUUAGUUGCCAGCAUUUAGUUGGGCACUCUAGGGAGACUGCCGGUGACAACCCGGAGGAAGGUGGGGAUGACGUCAAAUCAUCAUGCCCCUUAUGAGUUGGGCUACACACGUGCUACAAUGGACGGUACAAAGGGCAGCGAAGCCGCGAGGUGGAGCCAAUCCCAGAAAGCCGUUCUCAGUUCGGAUUGCAGGCUGCAACUCGCCUGCAUGAAGUCGGAAUCGCUAGUAAUCGCAGGUCAGCAUACUGCGGUGAAUACGUUCCCGGGUCUUGUACACUCCGCCCGUCACACCACGAGAGUUGCAACACCCGAAGUCGGUGAGGUAUCCGUAAGUAGCCA
rnacentral:rRNA from 1 species